ACCCCAAUUCUAAUUUACUUCAUCUAAAAUCCAAGUCCAAUCCUUAAGACAAGCGAACAAAUUUAAUCACUAACGGGCUUUGAUUUCGUCACUCCCCGACUUAACGAUCAUUCACGCGAAUAUGAACGAGUCUAACAAAACAAAUAUUCCAAAUAAGCAUAUGGACAUUUGAAGUAAGAAAAAACAUAACAAGCAAGAUAAAUAAAUACCAAAGGCAUAUAUGUAAGAACUUAUUUUCAGAACCAUUAAUGGUCCAUUUGACUUGUUACAGAGUCGACUGAUCAAUUAAAAUGAGAGUAGUCUAAAAUUAGCGAAACUAAUGCUUCUCCCAAGUUAAAAUUCUUCAUUUUUACCGGAUAAGCUAUGAAAUUUUCAGUGAUAUAAUUCAAGGUCGUGUUGAAUAACAGUUCAUCACACUGUAACAUUAAAGCACCUAACCAAAUAAUGAGACUAAAACAGCAAAUGAAAACAAAGAAACAUGCAUGUUAUACCAAAUUAAUCGAUAUCUUUCACCAAACUAGAAUAAUGAGAUGAAACAACAUGAAGGUUUGAGGAAUGCACCUCUACUGCAGCACACUUUUUGAAAGAAUGAUUAAGAAAAGAGAACUCAACAAGCCUUUACGAGCAAAUAAACCAGUGGCCGGAACCUCAAUUGGAAUCGGCGGACUGACUGAAAAUUGAUCUAGCCGACUAGCUAGUUGCACAUAGAAACGAAAAAAAAACAAACACCGGCAGUCCCGUCGGAGUUUGGUCGGACUGAUCACAAGAGACGAGCUCAGGCUCAAACGAACUUGUUAUUCAGGUGUUCUUUCGGUCAGAUUUUCGGACCUGCUUCGACUAAUUUCAAAAAGUUUAUGGCUGAAUUUCAUUGGGGUUUAGGGCUGGUUGUCGCUUGGUUGUUGCAGUGAUUUUCAAGGGUGCUUGGUUUGUGAAGACGAAGAGGAAUGGCGAUAGGUGUUUCGCUGAAGAAGAAAGAGGAAUCGAUGGGAUCUUUUUUUUUUUUUCUGUUCAGCCGCAGUUCUUUUUGUUUUUUGUUUUUGUCUAGGUUUUUUAGGUCCUCCCAAUCAGAGAAAAUGGAUGUCCUUUUUGGGUCCUUAGCUUUCAGCAGCUUAGGGCUUACUCAUGGAAGCAACUACCUUUUUUUUUAUUAAGAAAAAGCUUAGGUCUCUAUGGAGAAGAAGGACCUGAUCGAGGGUGGGUCUCCUCUUUGUAUUGUUGAAGGCUGAUGCUUUAUAGGGUCCCCACUCCCCAUUCUAG
rnacentral:lncRNA from 1 species